GGCUGAUUAGCUCAGUCGAUUAGAGCGUGGUGCUGACAACAGCAAGGUUGUGAGUUCGAUCCCCAUUCGGUCC
rnacentral:tRNA from 1 species